GACGAACGCUGGCGGCUUGCUUAACACAUGCAAGUCGAACGGAAAGGCCCUGCUUUUGUGGGGUGCUCGAGUGGCGAACGGGUGAGUAACACGUGAGUAACCUGCCCUUGACUUUGGGAUAACUUCAGGAAACUGGGGCUAAUACCGGAUAGGAGCUCCUGCUGCAUGGUGGGGGUUGGAAAGUUUCGGCGGUUGGGGAUGGACUCGCGGCUUAUCAGCUUGUUGGUGGGGUAGUGGCUUACCAAGGCUUUGACGGGUAGCCGGCCUGAGAGGGUGACCGGCCACAUUGGGACUGAGAUACGGCCCAGACUCCUACGGGAGGCAGCAGUGGGGAAUAUUGCACAAUGGGCGGAAGCCUGAUGCAGCAACGCCGCGUGCGGGAUGACGGCCUUCGGGUUGUAAACCGCUUUCGCCUGUGACGAAGCGUGAGUGACGGUAAUGGGUAAAGAAGCACCGGCUAACUAUGUG
rnacentral:rRNA from 1 species